rnacentral:rRNA from 1 species
GUGGGGAAUCUUGCGCAAUGGGCGAAAGCCUGACGCAGCCAUGCCGCGUGAAUGAUGAAGGUCUUAGGAUUGUAAAAUUCUUUCACCGGGGACGAUAAUGACGGUACCCGGAGAAGAAGCUCCGGCUAACUUCGUGCCAGCAGCCGCGGUAAUACGAAGGGGGCUAGCGUUGCUCGGAAUUACUGGGCGUAAAGGGCGCGUAGGCGGACAGCUUAGUCAGAGGUGAAAGCCCAGGGCUCAACCUUGGAAUUGCCUUUGAUACUGGCUGUCUUGAGUUUGGGAGAGGUGAGUGGAACUCCGAGUGUAGAGGUGAAAUUCGUAGAUAUUCGGAAGAACACCAGUGGCGAAGGCGACUCACUGACCCAAUACUGACGCUGAGGCGCGAAAGCGUGGGGAGCAAACAGGAUUAGAAACCCCUGUAGUCC